rnacentral:lncRNA from 1 species
AUGAACAGCCAGUUUUCGGAUGAGGAACAGGGAGACUUCUCUCCUUACCCAGAGCAGGGCCCCAAAGUCACUUUUGAGUUUCCUGCAGAGCAGAGCGUCAUAGCGGGGAGCUCACCCUUGCUCGAGCUACCUGUGCCUCCUGCUAAAACCCUAGGUCAGUCAAUCAGGGCCUCAAGGCCGAGUGCUAGUUGGCCCCUACAGACAGCUGCACAGGGAACCAUCGAUUCGUCAGUGGUCGAUGUCAUCCCUCCAAGAGGCCAAAGGUUGACGCAAGGUACACGGUGGGAGUCCACUCCACAACAGCAAACUCCUCAAUUGUUCCCUUCGACGCCAGAGUCCCAGCUUGUCUCCAUCAUCAGAAGCCCCAGAAGAGAUCUUAAGGACAAGGGUGUCGAAAAGUUUUCGGACAAGCCUGAGGAAUUUCUUCUCUGGAAGGCCACCUUCCAGAGAGCAAUCAGAGACUUAAAGUUAUUGCCUGAGGAAGAACUGACUCUUCUGGCUGCAUGGUUGGGCCCAGCCUCAUCCUCACAAGUUAAGAAGAUCUACGCAGCCCACGUAGCCGAUCCCGACAAAGCCCUGGAAAAGGCCUGGGCCAGGUUGCAGCAGAGGUAUGGGGCCAGCACAGAGAUUGAAGCAUCUCUUAUGGACAAGCUCCAAAGGUUCCCAGCUUUAAAACUCAAAGACUUCAAACUCUUGUGGGACCUCAGCGAUCUCCUUGCGGAAUUAGAGUCGGCCAAGGAGAAUCCAGAACUGCCCGGUUUGAAGUGCCUCGAUCAGCACCUGUCCCAGAGGCAGAUCUUGACCAAGCUGCCCUUCACUUUGCAAGAACGCUGGGGACAGGAGGUCUUCAACUACAAGGAGGCCCACUCCCAGGCAUACCCUCCAUUUUCUCAUUUGGUCCAGUUCAUCAUCAGGGCAGCCAGAGAAAGGAAUGAUCCGCAGACGGGCCUCCCCACCUUAUACCAAGGGACCCAGCCAGAGAAGGCACCUAAAGUGGAGAAAAAACCAUCCAGAGAGGCCAAAAGACCGGUUAGUGUUAAGGCUGUUGAAACUCAGCACAGGGCCAACGAAUCCAAGUCAGAGGUGAAGGAGGUGCUCUGCCCCAUUCACCAAAAGCCUCACAGUUUGGCCAACUGCCGGGAAUUUGGCAAGAAGCCUUAUAAAGAAAGACAACAGAUUGUACAGAAGCUGGGCAUAUGUUUUAGGUGCUGUGGAGCAACUCUUCACUUUGCAUCCAACUGCAAAGAGGACGUCAAAUGCGCAAGGUGUAACAGCCUUAAGCAUUGCACCGCGAUGCACAACUCUGACGCUGUCUCCCGCGCCAAAGGGGACACGUCUUCCAAAGAAGGGUCAUCUACUGAAGCCACCAACAUGCAGACCGCGUCACGGAUGCAGGAGGAUGCUCCAUCGGUCGCCUGUACUGAACUAUGCUCUGACGUGCACCAGUUCAGAGUUUGUCAUCCUAUCUGCCUAGCGGAUGUAUAUCCAGCCAAGAGCCCUUGGCUUAGAAAGAGACUUUACGUGGCUUUGGAUUCUCAGAGCGAUGCCUCCCUGGCUACUCCAGAGUUCUUCCGCAUGUUUGACCUUAAAACCAAGAUGGUCGACUACACUAUGACUACGUGUGCAGGAAAAAAGAAGUUGCAGGGUCGCAUAGCAUCUGGCUUUGUUGUCUCCUCUUGCGACCAGAAGAGACAGUUCAAGUUGCCAGACCUGAUUGAGUGUUCCUCCAUCCCUCGGAACAGAAAACAAAUUGUAACUAGAGAAGUUGUGGAGGCUCAUCCACAUUUGCGACGGUUAAAGAAUGCUAUACCAGCCUUUCGGCCAGAUGUGGACAUUGCCCUUUUGCUUGGCUCGGACUGCCCGAGCUUGUUCUGUGUGAACGACCAAGUUAAAGGACCUCCAGGUGCACCUAUCGCACAACAAUUGCCAUUAGGCUGGACAGUCAUAGGCCCAGUGUGCAUAAACAAGAUGCACCCACCAUCGUCGUUGGACUCCAAUCAAGCACAGGUGCUUAAAGGUGGACGUCCUACACUUGUGCGCAGUUGCCUAAGUCAUAUCUCAGUCUACUGCCAAGCAAUAACACCAGAGUAUUCUUCCAUCUUUGAGGUCUCCGAAAGGGAUGAAACUACAGCGCUUUCCAAAGAUGAACAGAGGUUUUUAGAGAUCAUGAACUCUCAAGUUUCCCGGAGUCCCGAGGGAAAUUGGAUAGCCCCUCUGCCUUUUAAAGCAGAAAAACCCACUUUGCCAAACAAUAGGCAUGUGACAGAAAAAAGACUCUGGUCACUGAAGAAGAUAGGAUGGGAUCAAGAGCUGACCCCAUCGGUGAAAGCAGCUUGGGCAAAUUGGACUUCUCAAGCUGAAGGACUGGAAACCAUCACAGUUCCCAGACAAUUUGUUCCCUGCAAGGCGAUGAUAGAACCCACCACAGAACUUCACAUCUUCUGUGACGCAUCUGAGCAAGCUAUAGCAGCUGUGGCAUACAUGCGACAAAGGGACAGAGAUUUUUGUCACGCAGGAUUCAUCAUGGCAAAGGCUAAAAUAGCUCCUAUGGGAACUUCAAUACCCCGGCUGGAAUUGUGUGCAGCAGUUCUUGCUGUCCAGCUCUGGCGCAUCAUCCAGCAAGAGAUAGGAGACUUGUUUCAAGAUGUCCAUUUCCACACGGACAGUACAGUUGUGCUUGGUUACAUCAACAACACAACCAAAAGAUUCAAGGUGUAUGUGGCUAAUAGAAUCAACAACAUUCUAUCCAGUUCUACGCCUAGCCAGUGGCACCAUGUCGCCACCAGCAACAACCCAGCUGACAUCGCUUCCAGAGGAGCUUCAGCUCAACGAGUGUCAAGUUCAAGUUGGCUGACAGGCCCCAGAUGCUUAACCGAAGUCAAUUUUCCAUCAGCCUUUUCUCCCACCGAUAAUACAGAAUUGCCCGAGUCUGUUCCAGAGGUGAAAGUUUGCAAGAUGACCACAGAAAUCAAGAUGGGCCAAAGAUCUUGCCUGGAACCACACCGUUUUGAACGUUUUUCGGAGUGGCACAGUCUUCUUAGAGCAGUUGCUAGGCUUAUACAUCGCUUAGUCUGCAAAGAUAGUCAGCCUUUGCAAGUUCAGGACAUGUUGAAGGCUAAGGGAGUAAUAUUCAGGUCAGUUCAGAGGCAUGAGUUUAGUCUAGAAAUAGCCAGGUUAGAACAAGGGAUUGACACCCCCAGCCGGAGUUUCUUGCGUGAGUUAAACCCAUUUCUAGACAAGGAGGGCAUUUUAAGAGUGGGAGGGAGGUUAGCUAAGGCUAAACUCAAAGUGUGUAUAAAGAACCCUAUCAUUGUACCCCCCAAUAGCCAUAUUGCUUUGUUGUUGGUUCGUCACUACCAUGAGAAAAUCCAUCAUCAAGGUAGAACUCUGACUGAGGCGACCCUUAGAAAUGAAGGCCUGUGGGUGGUAAAUGCUAAAAGUUUGGUCAGCAGUGUUAUUUUUAAGUGUGUCAAAUGUCGGCGACUCAGAGUCAGCUGA